rnacentral:rRNA from 1 species
AGGACUACCCGCUGAACUUAAGCAUAUCAAUAAGCGGAGGAAAAGAAACUAACAAGGAUUCCCCUAGUAACGGCGAGUGAAGCGGGAAAAGCUCAAAUUUGAAAUCUGGUAGCCUCAGGCUGCCCGAGUUGUAAUCUAUAGAAACGUUUUCCGCGUUGGCCCAUGUACAAGUCUCCUGGAAUGGAGCGUCAUAGAGGGUGAGAAUCCCGUCCUUGACAUGGACUACCAAUGCUUUGUGAUACGUUUUCAAAGAGUCGAGUUGUUUGGGAAUGCAGCUCAAAAUGGGUGGUAAAUUCCAUCUAAAGCUAAAUAUUGGCGAGAGACCGAUAGCGAACAAGUACCGUGAGGGAAAGAUGAAAAGCACUUUGGAAAGAGAGUUAAACAGUAUGUGAAAUUGUUGAAAGGGAAACGAUUGAAGUCAGUCAUGUCUAUUGGACUCAGCCGGUUCUGCCGGUGUACUUCCUUUAGAUGGGGUCAACAUCAGUUUUGAUCGCUGGAAAAGGGCAGGAGGAAUGUAGCACUCUCGGGUGAACUUAUAGCCUUCUGUCGUAUACAGUGGUUGGGACUGAGGAACGCAGCAUGCCUUUAUGGCCGGGGU